AAUACGAUUUACGUGGAGCUCGUGAAGGCGUCAUGCCUAUCACAUGGUGAUCGUUGAGGGAGGUCGCGCUACCAGGCAGAGUACAGACGAGCGAAAAGUACGGAGUUCAGAGCAUCUUUCCUCUGUGAGUGUGUUUUAUGUGUGUGGUAGGACCAUGUAUGUUCGUGUGCUCGCAUUAUCAUCACCUGUGCCCCGAAAGCCAAAUUAAAGGAUUUGUUUUGAUGAAGCUUCAGAUGAGUUGCAUACCAACCUGAGAUCUGAUGCUUCCCACCAUCACUAUGGAAAUAGAGGCCAGUCACAUGCUGGAGGCGGCACUGGAGCAGAUGGAUGGCAUCAUCGCUGGUUCAAAAGCAGCAGCAGUGGAGUUUUCUAACAGCAUGUAUGACCUGGGUUCUCCCAUCAGUGCUGGUCCACUGCAGGUUGUUCAGUUAGCUGAGGACCUGAAGCUGGCCUUGGAGCUCCAACCCAACCAGGAGGAGAGAGACAGCCUCAGAGCACAGUUACCAACAGAAACGGCACGUGCUCUCAUAGACUGGCUCCAGAGUGGAACAGUGAACCUGUGUUCUCCAGGCGGUGAUGAAACCUACCAAGAGCGACUGCUUCGCCUAGAGGGAGACAAGGAGUCCCUGGUGCUACAGGUGAGUGUUUUGACCGACCAGGUGGAGACCCAGGGAGAGAAGAUCAAAGAUCUAGAAAGCUCUUUGGAGGAACACCGGCUUAAACUGGCUUCCACUGAGGAGAUGCUGCAGCAGGAGCUGAUAAACAGGACCUCACUGGAGACUGAGAAGCUGGAUCUGAUGGACGAGGUGUCCUGUCUCAAACUGAAGCUGGUUAGCGUGGAUGAGACUCACACACACCUGCAAGAUCCUACGAACACAAAGCAGAGCAAAGCUGAGGAUUUGCCACAAGAGGUGAAGCAGCUGAAAAGCAAAGUGGAGGAGCUGGAAGGGGAGAAGAGCCAGUAUGAGAGAAAACUAAGAGCUACCAAGGCAGAAAUCUCAGAGCUGUAUGGGCUCCUGGCCACCAAAGACGCUGAGAUCGAAUACCUGCAGAACCAGCUGCAGGCCAAAGGCAGCACAGUCAGCGACCGCGCAGAGAGAGAGGAGGUGUAUAUCAAGCAGCUGAUUAACAAAUACCAGGAAUACCGGAGGCUGAAGGUGGGGAUGGAGUCUCUGUUAACUUCAAAUGAUGAAAAGGAUCGUCGUAUAAAGGAGUUGACCAUUCUGCUUGGCCAAUACAGAAAGAUGGGGGAGGUCCAGGCACUCACACAGGGAAGCAGUGAAGAGGAACUAAGUAGCAGUUUAAAACUCAGAGCUGUCACACACAAAGCACACUCUGAUAUCCUCAGGUCAGAGAUGUCAUCAAGAGGAUCUUCUCCACUUAUGUUAUCUUCAUCCCCUUACCAGAGAGAAUUGGAGUCCAGUAUUCAGAAUUCUAUGAACACAUCGCUGGUGUCCACUGGAGAUGCAAGCGUCUUUAACGGAUCAUGGCAUCAGCACAGGUUGCUGUCCAGCAGCCUUGAAGAGCUGCAGAGUGGAUCCUUACAACAGGCUACAGAGAUCCAGCCAGUUGAAACCGACGUAGGGGCAGAGAAUCCUCCCAUGGAGCUGAACAAGUACCAGACCCUGCCAGGUAAGCUGAGUAAAAAGAGAGAGCUGAGGGCUGAGCUGAAUGGUGACAGAGAGAGAGACAGAGAAUAUUCGUCUCCUGUCCAGCUGUGUCUGGUCCACAGCCACAACCAGGACUGCAAUCUGAUUCGCUGCAGGAGUGCCAGUGCUCCGGCUUUAGGAUCUCCAGGAAAACAUGACCUCUAUGAUGUUGGGUGUUCAGAGAAGCUGGAGGAGUGCAUCCUGUCAGACCAGUCCCCUCUGUCCUCUGGAGUGGACUCUGGACAGCAGUCCCCUGUCUCACCAGAGAACAGGAAGGGUCACAGAGGCAUUAAGAAACUCUGGGGAAAGAUCCGUCGCAGCCAGUCAGGUAGUGCUGUCCAGUUUCAUGAGCCAGACCUGGGACAAUUCAAGAGGGGAGGCUACAGAGCCACAGCUGGACCACGACUGGCUGAUUCAUGGAACACACAAGACCUGAAGAUGCCUUUUUCCAAGUGGAGCACAGAGCAGGUGUGUGACUGGCUUGAGGACAUUGGACUCGGUCAGUACAACAUCCUUGCUCAGCACUGGGUCAGCAGCGGUCAGACUCUGCUGUCAGCCACCUCACAAGACUUAGAGAAGGAGAUGGCAAUGAAGAAUCCACUACACAGGAAGAAACUCCUGUUAGCCGUCAAGGCGAUCAGCAGCAAGCAGCCUGAGAAGUCUGCAGAGCUUGAUUAUGUCUGGGUCAAUCGCUGGCUUGAUGACAUCGGCCUUCCUCAGUACAAAGAUCAGUUUAAUGAAGGAAGAGUGGAUGGACAGAUGCUGCAGUACCUCACUGUGAAUGACUUAUUAUUCCUGAAAGUGACGAGCCAGCUCCAUCACCUCAGCAUCAAGUGUGCCAUUCACGUUCUCCACGUCAACAAGUUCGACCCUAGCUGCCUCAAACGCAGGCCCAGCAAUGAGAGCCAGUUCACUCCCAAUGAGGUGGUCCAGUGGUCCAACCACCGAGUUAUGGAGUGGCUGAGAUCUGUGGACCUGGCGGAGUACGCACCAAACCUGAGGGGCAGUGGUGUGCACGGAGGGCUGAUAAUGCUGGAGCCCCGGUUUAACUCGGACACGCUGGCCAUGCUCCUGAACAUCCCUCCUCAGAAAACACUGCUGAGACGCCACCUAACCACCAAUUUCAACAAUCUGGUAGGAGCACAAGCUCAGCAGGAGAAGAGGGAGUACGUCGAGGCGACGGGCUACACACCUCUCAGCAUCACAGCUAAAGUCAAGCUAAAGAAACUGGGCUUCUCUAACUUGACUUAUCUCAGGAGAAGACGGCCAGAUGAGUCCACAGACUACGUCUGUCCCGUCGAGUCAUCCCCCCCUCAGUCGGAACAGUCUGCAGUGAACGGUGUGCAGAUGCAGCCUUACGCCAGCUUCAGAGGCCUGAGCCCCAUCUUGGACAGAGAGCCUGACCGCUCCAGGGACCAGAUGGUGAUCACUGAGAGUACCAUGUUGCAAAUAGAAGCUCUGUCUGAAAGCAUCAACAACCUCACAUACCUGCUCAGCCAGGAGGAGCUGCGGAAGGAGCUGAGGCGGUCUCAGAUGGCGCUAGUUUGAAGGACAAUGACCCGAUGCUGUUGGCUCACUUAUGCUGUAGCAGCCAAUCUCACCUCUGAACUGAACCACAAGCCCUGGGCCUAACACUACAGUGUGGAGCUGAUCACAUCUUCUCCUACUGGCCACUGAUGCCUCAUGUUAUGCUUACAGUCAUUCUGCAGUCACACUGUACAAUGGACCUAGAAACGUUAGUGAACAAAAGUCACAGUGUAUUUUCUACAAUGACAAACUAAACUGUUAUUCAUGAGCCAUCUGUGGCAUCCCCCUUUGCAGUGUACUGCCUCUAAUGAUCAUAUUGAUCGCUGUGGUACUAUGAAGGCUACUGACCACUUCAUAUUUUGUAGGCCUACUGUGCUAAUGUUGAGAGAACAGGGUCUAGUGAGCCAUCACUAGUUUUGUGGCAAAUAUGCACAGUAUAAUUCCUUUUUCUGGAAAGUUGUUAUAAACGUUCAUAUUCAGAUGAGGUAAGAGUCUGAGUUGGUGUUUAGUGCUAUUAGCAAAUCUUAGUAUGCUUAUGCACUAAUAUGCACUAACAUAUGAUGCACAUGGUAAAUACUAAACCUGCUAGACAUCAGCGUGUAAGCCUGUUAGCAUGAGCAUUUAGCUCUAAGCACCAAAGUGCCUACAGAGCAGCCUAAACCUAACACUAGCUCAUAUGGACCCCUCGUAAAUUUGAGGCCUAUGAGGACUGGAGAUUGAAUAGAAUGCCUCUGAAACUUAGUUUUUGUGUUCGAGUGACUGCAGGUGCAUGAUUAGAGCUCCUUAGCUGAAAGUCCAGGGACAGUUUACAGAUGAGUUUGAAAGAGAAGCAGGGGAUAAUGCAUUUAAGAUUGUCAUCUGACAGCUACUGGUGCAAAACAAUAGGAGAAGAAGGUUAAUCAGUCAGGUAUGCUGAGGUAUAAAAUGUGCAAAUGAGAGGGGAUUAAACAGCACAAGAAAAUGGAAAUAAUAAAGAAAUCCAAAAGAUUCUGGAUUCUUUUCCAGGUGGAGCCUGACCAAUACAUAUUCAACAUACUCUGUUUUAGGUUUAUAUUACUAACCACUUACAGAAGAAAAGGUAAUCAACAACUAAAACAGAUAUUUUGAUAAAUGACAGCAGACUGGUACAUUAGAUUGUAACAGAUUGUGAUUUGUGGUUGACAGAAUAAAAGCACACAGGGUCCAGUGAGUUGUACACAGGUCAUGUUCGGGAAUGAGGAAAGUAACCUCAUGUAAACACAUACAGUAUAAUACUGUACCUGCAUUAGGGCAAGGCAGCUUUAUUUAUAUAGUACAUUUUAUGCACAGAGGCAAUUCAAAGUGCUUUACAAAGACAAAAAAAAUCAUCCAACUCUAUAAAUAUAAACUCUCCUUUCAUCAUCUAACAGACAAUAGAAAGCCACACUAUAAGUUUUCAAUCUGACCCUACAUGUCCUAAGCACUUCCAUCUGAAAAGAGACGGUUAAGCUUUCUGUUUACCCAUCAAACCCUUCAGGCUUACCCCAGUGCUGAAGCUGCUGCUGCCAAUUAACUGGUAAGAUGAGUCUUUUGUUGACUUACCUAAAAUUUGUCAAGUUACAGACACCACACCCAAACUAACACUGUUGGCAGGAACACCCCCUCGACACCUAGGAUAGACAAUCCUUUUUAUUUUACUGAGGGUUCUGUACAUGUCAGGACACUGAAGACUGACCUGCACAUACACCACGAUACACACAUACGCACACUAUAUCUCAGCAGGGCAGAGGACAGGAGCGCAGUGCUGCUAGUACACUUGGAACUGCAGAAACCUCUAGACCAAUUCUGUGUAUCAGGGAGACCACCCUC